AAAAAAACACAUCUAGACCUUUCUAGGAACCCUAGAGUGAAGAUUGACCUCUUCAGAUUCUGCACAAAUGGACUAAGAAAAGGAGCGGAAGAUUUGUGGAGGUCUGGGAAGACUUGCCUUUGGUGAUGAGAGUGUUAACUUAGGCAGGUUGAUAAGAAGUCCAAGCCUAAGUCCCAUUUAAGGAGAAGGGCCUCAUUACUCUUCAAAGUUUACAGCAGUGUCAGCAGCAUAAACAGCAUCAACUUAACACUUACAGAAGGCUCCCAAUGUAUCAAG